rnacentral:lncRNA from 1 species
CAUAACAUCACUGUGCAGUAUAAUCUUCGGACAUUACUGUCGUGUGUACAGUCUUCUACUGUCUAAGACGUCUUGCUGUGAUGGAUGACUAUGCAAAGAAAGAAAUGGGAGCAGCGACAAUACUGCUUUGGUCCUCCGGUGUGAUCAGAUAUGUAAAAACAAGUAAAGUUUAGCUCCCACUAGGUAACAAGAUGCUGGGAUGAUCAGAAGUGAAAUCUAUAGGGGCAUAAAUAUGUCUGAGGUUCUCAGCAUAUCAUCGUGUUGUCUUGGACAGUGGAAACUUGGAG